rnacentral:rRNA from 2 species
GACGAACCGAGCAAACGUUAUUCGGAAUCACUGGGCUUAAAGGGCGCGUAGGCGGUCUCGUAAGUCUGCGGUGAAAUCCUCCAGCUCAACUGGAGAACGGCCGUGGAUACUGCGAGUCUCGAGGGAGGUAGGGGCGUGCGGAACAGAUGGUGGAGCGGUGAAAUGCGUUGAUAUCAUCUGGAACUCCGGUGGCGAAGGCGGCACGCUGGACCUCUUCUGACGCUGAGGCGCGAAAGCCAGGGGAGCAAACGGG